UACGUAGGGCGCAAGCGUUAUCCGGAAUUACUGGGCGUAAAGCGCACGUAGGCGGAUUGUUAAGUGAGGGGUGAAAUCCCAGGGCUCAACCCUGGAACUGCCUCUCAUACUGGCAAUCUCGAGUUCGAGAGAGGUGAGUGGAAUUGCGAGUGUAGAGGUGAAAUUCGUAGAUAUUCGCAGGAACACCAGUGGCGAAGGCGGCUCACUGGCUCGAUACUGACGCUGAGGUGCGAAAGGCGUGGGGAGCAAACAGG
rnacentral:rRNA from 1 species